GACGAACGCUGGCGGCGUGCUUAACACAUGCAAGUCGAACGGAAAGGCCCUGCUUUUGUGGGGUGCUCGAGUGGCGAACGGGUGAGUAACACGUGAGUAACCUGCCCUUGACUUUGGGAUAACUUCAGGAAACUGGGGCUAAUACCGGAUAGGAGCUCCUGCUGCAUGGUGGGGGUUGGAAAGUUUCGGCGGUUGGGGAUGGACUCGCGGCUUAUCAGCUUGUUGGUGGGGUAGUGGCUUACCAAGGCUUUGACGGGUAGCCGGCCUGAGAGGGUGACCGGCCACAUUGGGACUAAGAUACGGCCCAGACUCCUACGGGAGACAGCAGUGGGGAAUAUUGCACAAUGGGCGGAAGCCUGAUGCAGCAACGCCGCGUGCGGGAUGACGGCCUUCGGGUUGUAAACCGCUUUCGCCUGUGACGAAGCGUGAGUGACGGUAAUGGGUAAAGAAGCACCAGCUAACUACGUG
rnacentral:rRNA from 1 species